ACGUGGCAGGACUCGGUCUUGCAAGAUUCACAGCCCAUCUACUACUCCCCCCUCCUCCUGCGUUUUCCACCUAAUUUACCGAGGGCAACAAGGGCAUUAGUCGUAUUCAAACGGUCCGUAUCACAAACGAGAAAGAAGCAAGUUUUUCUCGAGGGAGCCAUCGCUGGCCGUGGAGCCAGUCGUCUACCUCUGCCUUCCUCUCCUCUUCUAACUAGUAAUACGCAAUGAGCUCUGCAGAGAUGUUGCUGGAUGCAGCUUCGCUAACACCCUCUCUCUCCCAACUUCUCGCCGUCGACUCCGUUUCUAGCGUGCUUGCGUACCUUGUGCAAGGCGCCAUCAUCGAUGACCCCGAUGCACGGUUGCAGGCACUCAGUGAGGUUUUAGCUCACGUCAGCACGUCGCCGAAAAGUGACAGUGCUGUUUCUGCAAAUGGCGUCGGCGCUGACGGCACCAGCCCCUCUUCCGCCACGUACACGCGCGUGCAUGGCGCAAGGUGGAAGUGGGCAGAUGUGGUUAUGCGCGGGGUAACCGACCCGUGGUCGCGCAUCCGAUCUCUGGCUGCACCGGUGAUGGCCGACCUACUAGACGCGGAGGUCGAGCUGGUGCUGCAGCGCCACGACAGUAGCUUCAGCACCUACCUCAGGUCAUCCAACAGUACGCCACGCUCCUCCUCGGUCGCGAGGACGACACCACGUAGCGCAAAGAAGGACUGGAAGGACGAGCUGACCGCAACGGAGUCUUCGUUGCUGGAGAGCGUGUCGGCGCCGCUCGAAUACGUGUGGCACCGGUGGCGGGGCAUGUCGCUCUGGUACGAGCAAGACGGCAUUGUACGUAUGCUGGCGAAGCUGUACAGCCGCAGCGGCACCCCUUCCGGAGACGCCCUGCGCACAGACGAGGCGGGGCUGCGCUGUCUGCUCUUUAAUGUCAUCUUUCCUGCGCUGCGCAACCCACAGCUGCCCGUGCGGGAGUCUGCAGCGCUUCUGCUGGGCAUUCUCGCUGACCGGCGGAGCUCCACCUCCCUCUCCCCGGCCAUCACUUCCUUCGUCGUAGACCACGUGUGCCGCACUAUUAUGCAGGCGCCGACGCCAGCCCGGAGACACUCACCCGAGACCUUGGUUUCCGUAGAGGACACGCGCGUCUUGGAGGGCAACCUACUCGCUCUGAACAAGCUAGUGGAUGCCGACGCUAUCCGUGUAGAAGACGCCGACGUGAUGCCGCUUCUGCUGCGGUUGUCGAACUACCCGGCGUCGAGUGUUCGCCAAUACGUGGCUCAGAUUCUUCGGCCGCCCUCCCUGUGUGUAUUUACCUACCUGAUGCAGCGGCUGUGUGAGCACCAAAACUGCAUGCCGCAGCACGCCGAAGGUGACGGAGACAGCAGUAGCAGCGUCCCAGGCGGUGGCGAGAACGAUGACAGCGAUGGGCUCAGCUGGCAGCGUCUUGAGACGCUGAUGAUGGCCCUACAGCAGCACCUUCUGUACCUGCAUACCACGUCGGCGACGAUGCAAGACCUGUUUCACGUGAGCUCCGAUACGAAAGGUAUCCUGACUCCCGUCGUGUUCGCGACGUCGCUGUCGGUGGUGUUUCAGGCGACGCACUCGCCUCGCUUCGAGGUGGCGCGGAUGGGACUACAGCUGUUCCCUUUGCUGCUGCAGCUCAGCCUCCGCUUCUGCCCGCCCGUUGCGCUGCCGCGCGUCUGCGAGGCGUGCUGCGGCUCUGACGGAUGCGUGCAGGCAGAGCUGAAUAGGAUCGCCGCGUGCGGGGCCGUCGAGACCUUGGCGAAGGCGCAAACGUACGUGGCCACGUUCGUGGUGCCGGUGAUGUGGUGGUUUCUGACGAUCCGGCGGUUGGUGGCGGAGGUGAGGGAAAAGAUGACGCCGUCGCCGACGACGGGGGCGCCGGGCGAGACGCGCGCGCAGGUAGAAGAUUUAGUUCGACCGUACGCCACCUUGGAGCAGAUCCUGUUCGCGUCUCAGGCACACCUCAGCGGAAAGGCGAGCAGCAGCGCGGCGUUGCCGCGGCACACGGCAACGUGUGCGCUGCUGCCUCUGGUGACGUACUUUGCGACGGUUAUGGACCCGGAGGAGUGGCACCGGUGCGUCAACGAGCUGCUGGCGCCGAGCUGGUGGGCCGGGCUGCUCGCCGAUCCGGCGCGGCAGGAACAGGCGCGCGUCGGGCCAGACUUCGUGCGCGCGGUGCACAGGCGCGGCACGAGCGAUGAAGUACGGCGCGUCGUCGAACUUGUGCCGACGCUCACGGCGGCCCUGGCCGACGCGCCGACGCAUCAGCAGUGCCUCCUUGUGGCGAUGAUCCGGGUGGCAGUGGUGGCACACACGGCGCGCACCGUCGUGGUGGAGGAGCACGCGCUGUCUUUUCUCUACCACGAGGCAUACGCGGCGCCAGCGCUCGUCGAAGGCGGCGAUGCGGUGUCACUUGGCCACGUGUGGCUAAAGCACUUUAUGCCGACGCAAGAAGCCAUCCCGGCAGCGGCGCUGUGGGGCGAGUCAUCGCAAUCGAGGGAUGGGUCGAUCGUUCUUGUCGAAAGUAACUCGACCGUCUUUCAGGCUAUCGAGAAGAGGUGCUACCAGGAGCUGUACCAGUCCCCUCAGACGGAGCCGGUGGUGCUGCGCGAGCUACGAUCGCUCAUGAUGAGCCUGUCGCACCCGAGCAUGAGCGUGCCGAGCGGGGAGCACGUGUACUGGUACGCCGCCGCCCUCGCCGCGGUCUUCGGGCGUCUGGAGAAGGUAUGCCCGCAGUGGCGGGAGACGGACACGGCGGCGACGGCGGCAGCGACAGCAGUCUUCAGCGGCUGCGAGGACGACAACGAGUGCUGGGACGACUGGGACGACGACGAGGACGGCGCCGCACAAGGCAUCUACGCGGCUGAGGAGGUGCGGAACGCAAGGGCGGUGGUUUUGGUGCUGCGCGAGCGCGCGGCGGCGUGGAUGGAGGCGCGCGACAUGGCGGCUGCCGAGCAUCGCUUUCGCCCCGAGUUCGCCGUCCUCACGGCUCUCUGAACGCCGAAAAGGAAGAGGGCUUCGUGGCUGCGUUGUGUGUGUGUGUGUGGCUCUUGUUUGAUCGAUGUCAGAUGAGGGUAUUUAUCCCACUGUGACUGUGCUCACCACCCAGCCCACAUAGGCGCUGUCAACAAAGAAAAAUGCCGAACGAUCGACGUGUUCGCCACACCUUCCCGGCAUGCGAGGUGAUUGCACGUCGUGGCGCUUUGAUCUUCAUCCUAGCUCCUUUCAAUUCUCCUCCCGUUUUCUCCUCACGCAAAUAG
rnacentral:misc_RNA from 1 species